AAAUUGAAGAGUUUGAUCAUGGCUCAGAUUGAACGCUGGCGGCAGGCCUAACACAUGCAAGUCGAGCGGUAGCACAGAGAGCUUGCUCUCGGGUGACGAGCGGCGGACGGGUGAGUAAUGUCUGGGAAACUGCCUGAUGGAGGGGGAUAACUACUGGAAACGGUAGCUAAUACCGCAUAACGUCGCAAGACCAAAGUGGGGGACCUUCGGGCCUCAUGCCAUCAGAUGUGCCCAGAUGGGAUUAGCUAGUAGGUGGGGUAACGGCUCACCUAGGCGACGAUCCCUAGCUGGUCUGAGAGGAUGACCAGCCACACUGGAACUGAGACACGGUCCAGACUCCUACGGGAGGCAGCAGUGGGGAAUAUUGCACAAUGGGCGCAAGCCUGAUGCAGCCAUGCCGCGUGUGUGAAGAAGGCCUUCGGGUUGUAAAGCACUUUCAGCGGGGAGGAAGGCGGUGAGGUUAAUAACCUCAUCGAUUGACGUUACCCGCAGAAGAAGCACCGGCUAACUCCGUGCCAGCAGCCGCGGUAAUACGGAGGGUGCAAGCGUUAAUCGGAAUUACUGGGCGUAAAGCGCACGCAGGCGGUCUGUCAAGUCGGAUGUGAAAUCCCCGGGCUCAACCUGGGAACUGCAUUCGAAACUGGCAGGCUAGAGUCUUGUAGAGGGGGGUAGAAUUCCAGGUGUAGCGGUGAAAUGCGUAGAGAUCUGGAGGAAUACCGGUGGCGAAGGCGGCCCCCUGGACAAAGACUGACGCUCAGGUGCGAAAGCGUGGGGAGCAAACAGGAUUAGAUACCCUGGUAGUCCACGCCGUAAACGAUGUCGAUUUGGAGGUUGUGCCCUUGAGGCGUGGCUUCCGGAGCUAACGCGUUAAAUCGACCGCCUGGGGAGUACGGCCGCAAGGUUAAAACUCAAAUGAAUUGACGGGGGCCCGCACAAGCGGUGGAGCAUGUGGUUUAAUUCGAUGCAACGCGAAGAACCUUACCUGGUCUUGACAUCCACAGAACUUAGCAGAGAUGCUUUGGUGCCUUCGGGAACUGUGAGACAGGUGCUGCAUGGCUGUCGUCAGCUCGUGUUGUGAAAUGUUGGGUUAAGUCCCGCAACGAGCGCAACCCUUAUCCUUUGUUGCCAGCGGUCAGGCCGGGAACUCAAAGGAGACUGCCAGUGAUAAACUGGAGGAAGGUGGGGAUGACGUCAAGUCAUCAUGGCCCUUACGACCAGGGCUACACACGUGCUACAAUGGCAUAUACAAAGAGAAGCGACCUCGCGAGAGCAAGCGGACCUCAUAAAGUAUGUCGUAGUCCGGAUUGGAGUCUGCAACUCGACUCCAUGAAGUCGGAAUCGCUAGUAAUCGUAGAUCAGAAUGCUACGGUGAAUACGUUCCCGGGCCUUGUACACACCGCCCGUCACACCAUGGGAGUGGGUUGCAAAAGAAGUAGGUAGCUUAACCUUCGGGAGGGCGCUUACCACUUUGUGAUUCAUGACUGGGGUGAAGUCGUAACAAGGUAACCGUAGGGGAACCUGCGGUUGGAUCACCUCCUUA
rnacentral:rRNA from 1 species